GGCAAGGUGGCCGAGUGGUUAUGGCGCUGGUUUUAGGUUUCCAAAACACCAGUUCGAAAGAGCGUGGGUUCGAAUCCCAUCCUUGUCA
rnacentral:tRNA from 1 species